rnacentral:lncRNA from 1 species
AAAGUAGCCAACACAAUCCAAAAUGCCAAGAGCGGGAGCGUCAAUGGUUGUUUUGUUAGAGGGCUUGCAUUAGGCAACCAUGGAUAUGCAUCUGGAGGUGGCAUGACACAAUUGUCACCAUUGAAGUACACACGGUGGGGGAAGGCCCAUCCCUUGUCAAAGGUGAAAGCCAUAGAAUCCUUCCGCAGAAUUGAAGCUAAACAGCUGGGUGAUAUUGUUGAAGUUAGGAUGCUGAAUGACCAAGUUCCAUUGUGUGUAAUUCAUGCGGUAGUUGAAGUUUGUGAUCGUGACUUUUACUCUCCAGUAUUCCUUGUAGUUGAGCUUCACAUGCCAGUGGAUUCUUAUUGGGCACAUGUGGGAAGUGCAUUGGACAAGAGGUUGGCCAGUCCAUUUGCCAGGGCCAUCGAUGGCAGAUUUAAAGAGAGAUACUUACUUAGAGCUUGGGUUGCCCUGCGCCCAUCAUUGGUGAAAAACUUAGUAGGCCUAACAAUCAUAGCACGCCCACAUGUGUACCCAGGACCUGGGGCCUUAAGAGUAAAGUUCUUAGGCAGCUUAACUGUCUUAUUUGUAGUCCCAGCAAGACCUACACUGAUCUGGAAGGAUGAAGCAGCAUUUAAUGGGUCCUGGUUAAAUGUAUUUAUAACUCCUGCUUUGCAGCAAUUGGCAAUUUGCAUGUUGUAUGGGGUGCCUGGAAGCAGAUCAACAAUCGUGGGAUCUUUCUUGCAGCAGUGGGGUGGGUUGCCCUUGAACUUUGAGCAAUCACCCUGCUCAGUGGUCUGUGCUCCAACCAUCGACCAAAUGACCUCCUUCUUCGCCCAUGUCCACCCCAGCUGCCACCCAGAUCCAUCACCGAAAUGCUUGAGAUGAAGAUUCAGCGAAGAUAGCAAAGACUGGUGCUGGUAAGGAAGCUCCGUGUGUGCUCCUCCCAAUUGCCCUAAGCUACCUAAUUCGACCUCAGAAUUCGUGCAAGCAUGAGAGAAAUGGAAGUCCCUAGUGAAUUUGGAGCCCAACCAGGAGUACCAAAAACAGAAAGAAGCCAAUGACGCCGAACUGGAGCCACCGACACUGUAAGGACAAGCAGCCCGGGAGUCGCAUUGCCCACACGCACGCGACGGAAUCUCGCGGCCACCUCGUCCGAUCAUCCUCCUCAUCGGCGAUCGGGGCCUAACAAAGCUCGCCGGCGACAGCGACGGCCGGCCGACGGACACGGCAGCACGAGCAGAGAGCUAGCGAGAUGAUACAGGUGGCCCAAGAAAGCGGGGGAAGCAAAGCCACGACGAACCUGUGGCGCUCGGCGCGGAGAGGAGCAGCGCCGCCACGAGCAGCGCGGAGGCGCCCCACGCGACGGAUCUUGCGCUCCCGGCG